rnacentral:misc_RNA from 1 species
CCAAACUUGGUCAUUUAGAGGAAGUACAAGUCGUAACAAGGUAUCCGUAGGUGAACCUGCGGAUGGAUCAUUACCGAGUGAUUUUGUUUGUAAUGUGAAUUGUUGAUUGUUUGGUUGGUGGGUUUUGUUUUUGGUGUGUUGAUUUACUUUGGUAUAUUUGAUGUGCUUUGGUGUAUUGAUGUUCCUUGGUAUAUUUGAUGUGCUUUGGCAUAUCGAUUUACUUUGGUAUAUUUGAUGCUCCUUGGUGUAUUGAUUUACUUUGGUACAUUGAUGUUCCUUGGUACAUUGAUGUUCCUUACUAUAUCGAUGUCCCUUUGUAUAUCGAUGCCCAUACAUCAAAACCACCAGCCUUUGUACGUACACUAUGCAAGCCUGAGUCCAUUCACUGAAUGAUAAAACAACUUUUAGCAAUGGAUCUCUUGGCUCUCGCAUCGAUGAAGAACGCAGC